rnacentral:misc_RNA from 1 species
GAUUAUUAUUUAGAAUGCGCGUGAUUAUAUUUUGUUUAUGAGGCGGACGAUGGCGCUGAGUCGAGCGAGCAAGCUAAGCGAGAGCGGUUGUAAGACGCGAGAGAGUUUGCUUCCGAGUGCUAAUUUUUUCUGUUAACUUCGCUUCCAUUCGUGCAUACUUGUAUUGCUAAUUAACAUAUAUCAAAUACAUUACUGAUUAUUAUUAAUAACGAAAUAAUCAUUAAUAGAAACCUACAAUUUGGGGACUCAGCCGGGAUACGAGUAGUAGCACGUGCGGAAUCGAUGUGUGAAGACGAACAGUGCGUAAUAAGACGAAUACACAAGACGAGACGAACACGUGAAGACGAACAGUGCGUGGUAAGACGAAGUAUACGAGACAAGACGAGACAAACACGUAAGGACGAACAGUGUGUGUAGACAAAGUAUACGAGUUGAGACAAAGCGAACACACGAAGACGAACAACGCGUAAAGACGAACAGUGUGUGAUAAGACAGAACGAGUAUACAAGGCCAAAUAAAGAGUAGCCCAGGGAAUAAAGGUGUGUGUGAACUAUUAGUGCGAAUAGCGUGUGAAAAUCACGUGGCGGGCAUAGCCACCGGCAUGAAGUAAGAUAUAAGGAGACUCCACUCAUGCUAGCCAGCCCGCGGAAAAUGAGUCAAGUUUGCAUCGAAAGUUAAAGUUCCGAUUUUCGCCACUCGCAGCGCUUGUAAACUAUUAAGUGUGUGCAUAAAGUGCGUCGCAGCAAGAAGAAAGACAUAUAUGUGAGAAUAAUAUCUUCCUUUCUGACAAAUAUACGCGAAUUUAUUUUGCAAUGCCAUUCUGUUGUAUUGUGCCUGAUUGCAAAACUGGGUAUAUUAAGAGCGUGUAUCAAAAUAAAAUCAAGAAGAAGCUGAGUUUGUUCAGACCACGUACAGAUGAUAUGUUACUGAAGUGGCGGCAGGUAAUCUGUCGUCCUGAAACAAAACCAUUAUUAAAAUCCCAUGGCGUUCGUGAAUUACAUUUUAAAGAAGAGGACAUUGAGAGAUACUAUGUUACUAGGUUGAGUAAUGGAAGUAUUUUUAGAAUGCUAAAAGACGUGGCAACCGGAAAUACGGCCAUUAAAAGCAUCGAUUAUCGAUCGAUUCCUACUUUAUCAAGCGGAUUUAUCGACCGACCAUGGAGAGGUUAGGACAAAUCUCUGUCAUCGCUGCCAAAAUCAAAUCAGCAUCGUCGAAAGUUAUCAAAACGUUCCAUACUUUAGUUUUCGGAAACGAAGGUGAUAAGGGUAAUCGAAAAAGACUGUUGGAAUUUCGAGGAUUUGAAUUUUCAGCCGAUACAGACGAACUUUCAGUUAAAAUGAGACAGCGGCCUGAUGGAUUUAAGCCAGCUAGCAUGCGAUGCAGAAGAAGAGGAGUUCGAGCACGACGACGAGGAAGACGAUAGAAGCGAAGGACAGAACGAUGACAGGAGUGAGAAGCAGGAUGAUAUAGACCAUUCAAUCAAACAAGAAAGAAAAGGACAAGUGAUGCAACAACAAGUGGUGCUGCAACCACAACAUUUUUCUUUGAGCUACAAAGACGUGGAAAAUGUUAUUCGUACAUUUGACGAUACUGAUGCCUAUCCGGUGGAGCGCUGAAUUAGUGACUUUGAAGACGCCGCCGUCUUAUUUGGCUGGAGUGAAAUAUAAAAAUUAGUAUUUGCUAAGUGAACGUUGACUGGUCUCGCCAAGUUAUUCCAAGGUGAGCGUGGUUUAUAUACGUGGAAUCAAUUGAAAGAGGCUUUGUUUCAGGAAUUUGCCACUAAAGUUAACAGUGCUCAGUUGCACGAGGUAUUAGCAACUCGCAAGAAGAAGAAGGACGAAUCAAUACAAGAAUAUUAUCUUGCGAUGAAGGAAUUGGCUGCUAAAGGAAGUAUCGAAGCUGAUGCGUUAAUGAAAUACGUUGUUGAUGGUAUCACAGACGACCUCAAUCAUAAGCUGAUACUAUCUGGUGCUAAGACGCUGACGAAUUUAAGGAGAAACUACGAGUGUACGACGACACGCAAAAGAGGACGGGAAAGCGGAAUCCACUGUACAACUCGCAUAAAAACAGUAGGAACAAAGGAGCUGAAUCUACUGGGGCAACAAGUACACAGUAAAAGACUGAAAACCGAAAGAAGACCGAGGCGUCGAAUAAGUCAAGCGUUUUGCGUUGUUUUAAUUGCGGUGAAAGCGGUCACAAAUCUAAAGACUGCGAAUCUAAAUCGUUAGGUACCAAAUGCUUCAAGUGCAAUCAAUUUGGACAUGUGGCGAUAAAUUGUAAUAAGAGACGAGGCAAUAAUAGCAAUAAGCCGACAAUAGCCACCCCAACUAAAAAUGUAAAUAAUAUUGUAAAUCUUACGGGAAAUAGAGUCUAUAAAUUAGUCAAAGUAAAGGGAGUAAGCGUAAGUGCUUUAAUAGAUUCAGGAUGUGAAGUUAAUCUGUUCCGCGAAGAUGUAUAUAAGCAGAUAGGAUUGCCGACAUUAAAAACGACACAAAUUUCUUUGAGAGGUUUUGGGAAUGACGAAGUGUUUUCUUUAGGCUGUUUUGAGACGGUUAUAGAGAUAGAUAACGAGGAACUUAAGCUAGACGUACAUGUAGUGCCAAGUAACGCGAUGCCGAUGGUAAUGAUCAUAGGUAAUAAUAUCCUAGAGCAGGCUGAACUGACAUUAAAGAAAGACGGAGUAACUGUUUCGAAAAUUUCACGAGAUGUUUUUCUGGGUCAAAUUAAAGUAACGGCUGAUUCUGAAGUCGAUCUUAGUCAUAUCACUGAUAAAUCUAUACAAUCAGAAGUUACGAGAUUAGUGACGUCUUACAAUCCGAGAAAAACUAAAGAUACUGACGUGACGAUGACGAUAGUUGUCAAGAAGGAGCGACCCGUUUAUAUUCGACCUCGCAGACUGCCUCCAUCCAAGCGUGAAAUUGUAGAAAAGCAAAUCAAAGAAUGGCUUAAAGACGGUAUUAUAGCAUCAUGCUCGUUUGAGUACGCGUUUGAGUCCUGUAUUAGUCGUAAGAAAGAAAGAUGGAAGUCCAAGAGUGUGUGUUGAUUAUAGAAAAGUUAACGAGAUAAUAAUUAAGGAUAGAUACUUUUUACCUUUAAUUGAGGAUCAGCUCGAUCGAUUAAAAGAUGCUAGGGUCUUUACUACUCUAAAUCUGCGAAAUGGAUUCUUUCACGUAGCGGUUAAUGAAGAAAGUUGAAAAUACACCGCCUUUGUGACGCAUAGCGGACAGUAUUGUUUCCUAAAAGUACCGUUUGGAUUAUGUAACUCUCCGGUGGUUUUCCAACGGUUCGUAAAUCAUAUUUUUCGUCCAUUAAUUAACGCGGGAUUAGUACUUACCUAUUUAGACGACUUAAUUAUUCCCAGAAAUAAUGAAAAACACGGAUUAGAGAGAUUGAUAUCUGUACUUCAAGUUGCGAGCAAGCAUGGAUUAGAAAUUAACCUUAAGAAAUGCCAGUUUAUACAUAAACGCGUCGAAUUAUCCAUCUCCGGACAAAACAAUAGCUGUGAAACGUUAUUACGUCCGAUGCCGCGUUCAUUAAAAGAUGUCAGAAGUUUCCUAGGCCUGACCGGAUACUUCCGAAAGUUCAUACCACAUUAUUCCACGAUUGCUAAGCCGUUAAGUGACAUGCUCAGAAAAGACGAAAAAUUCGUAUUCGAUGAAGCACAAGUGCGCGCAUAUGAACUGUUAAAACGUUCUCUAACCGAAGACACGGUGUUAAAAAUCUAUCGACCAGAGGACGAGAAGUACACACUGAUGCUAGUCAAGACGGAUACGGUGCAGUGUUACUGCAGCGCUCUGGUGAUGAUAGACAGAUGCAUCCAGUUUACUACACUAGUCGGAAGACAACACCAGCCGAACGAAAGUACACCAGUUAUGAGUUGGAGGUCUUGGCUAUAGUGGAGGCCUUAAAGAAAUUUAGAACGUACCUCUUGGGUAUCAAAUUUAAAGUAGUGACUGACUGCUCCGCUUUUCAGAAGACGCUUAAUAAAAAAGACUUGGUGACGCGAGUGGCUAGGUGGGCACUCCUACUAGAGGAAUAUGAUUUGACGGUGGAACACAAAUCCGGCGCGAGAAUGAAACAUGUAAACACGCUUUAAGCCGAUACCCCGUCAUGUGCAUUAUCGACAGCGGUAUAAUCUCUAGAAUUGCAAAAGCUCAAGAAGAGGACAAUGAAAUCAAGCUUAUUAUAGAAAUAUUGAAAGAUCGCAAAUACAAAGACUAUUUUAUGCGAAUGGAAUACUUUACAAUUUUAGAGAAGGACGAGAACUACUGGUCGUACCACGGACAAUGCAGCAAGAAAUAAUUCGAAACUCCCACGAGAGAGGACAUUUUGCCGUAAAGAAGAUCGAAGAACUGAUUCUACGCAACUAUUAUAUGCAAGAGUUAACAAAAAAGGUAGAAAGAGUUAUCGCGAACUGUGUUCAAUGCAUAUUAUUCAAUAAAAAACAAGGAAGACAGGAAGGAUUUCUACAUCCUAUAGAAAAGGACUCUAUACCACUAUAUACUUACCAUGUGGAUCAUCUAGGGCCUUUAGAGACGACUAAUAAAAACUACAAUCACAUUUUUGCAGUCAUAGACAGUUUCACUAAAUUUGUUUGGCUGUACCCUGUGAAAUCUACUACUUCAAAGGAGGUCAUAAGCAAGCUGGAAUUACAGAAGUCCGUUUUCGGGAAUCCGAUGCAAAUAAUUUCAGAUAAAGGCACGGUCUUUACUUCCAAUGAAUAUUAAGAGUACUGCAAGAAUGAAGGGAUAAGAUCUUUGUGUAUCACUACCGGACUGCCUAGAGCUAAUGGGCAGAUAGAAAGACUCAACCGCACGAUCAUAUCGGUAAUUAGUAAGCUAGCGAUAGAAGAUCCGUCAAAAUGAUACAAGCACGUGAGUCGGGUCCAGCAGAUUCUGAACGCCACGUAUCAUUGAAGCACAAAUACAACGCCUUUCGAACUGAUGUUCGGUAUUAAAAUGCGCGAUAAAGCAGAUCUGGAAUUGAAGAACCUGAUUGAGGAAGAGUUUAGGGAACAGUUCGAGUCCAAUCGUAAAAAUUUACGACAAUCGGCAAAAGAGCAGAUCAAGAAAGUACAGUUAGAAAAUCGAAAAACUUAUAAUUUACGUCGACGCAAACCUACACUGUAUAAAUUAGGCGACCUAGUGGCGAUCAAAAAGACUCAGUUUGGUUCAGGAUUAAAGUUAAAGGGAAAAUUUGCGGGUCCCUAUAAGAUAACAAAGGUAAAAUUAAAUGAUACCUACGAUGUAGAAAGAGUAGGAGGAAAUGCAGGUCUUUUACGUACCAUCACCUGCGCUGAAUACAUGAAAUCAUGGAUUAAUUCUAGUUCGUUGUCCGGGUCGGACACCGAGUCGGAUGGCCGAGUGUAGGAUUCGGAAGGCGCGUUACAUUUUUUUUUGUUGCCGCUCAAAAGAUUAUUAUUUAGAAUGCGCGUGAUUAUAUUUUGUUUAUGAGGCGGACGAUGGCGCUGAGUCGAGCGAGCAAGCUAAGCGAGAGCGGUUGUAAGACGCGAGAGAGUUUGCUUCCGAGUGCUAAUUUUUUCUGUUAACUUCGUUUCCAUUCGUGCAUACUUGUAUUGCUAAUCAACAUAUAUCAAAUACAUUACUGAUUAUUAUUAAUAACGAGAUAAUCAUUAAUAGAAACCUAUAUUAGUGAUAAAACUGGGAAAAUUUAUCCUAAAAGUCACCCAAUUUGGACAACUAUUUGUAAUACAUGGAAUAAUCGCAUGAAAGCAGUAAAUCUUUAUUUUUACGU